rnacentral:rRNA from 1 species
UUAAUAGAGAGUUUGAUCCUGGCUCAGGACGAACGCUGGCGGCGUGCCUAACACAUGCAAGUCGAACGGGGCUACGCGCGGCACGGAGUGCUGUGCAGAGG